rnacentral:rRNA from 1 species
AUUGAACGCUGGCGGCAUGCUUUACACAUGCAAGUCGGACGAGUGGCGAACGGGUGAGUAACAUAUCGGACCGUACCGAGUAAUUGGGGAUAACUAAUCGAAAGAUUAGCUAAUACCGCAUAUUACUAGCGCGGCCGAUAUCUGAUUAGCUGGUUGGUGGGGGAAAGGCAUACCAAGGCGACGAUCCGUAGCGGGUCUGAGAGGAUGACCAGACACACUGGGACUGAGACACGGCCCAGACGCCUACGCGAGGCAGCAGUGGGGAAUGUUGGACAAUGGGCGCAAGCCUGAUGCAGCCAUCCCGCGUGGAUGAAGAAGGCCUUCGGGUUGUAAAGGACUUUUGGCAGGGAAGCGGUAACUGAAGAAUAAGCACCGGCUAACUACGUGCCAGCCGCCGCGGUAAUAC